rnacentral:rRNA from 1 species
CCUACGGGUGGCAGCAGUGAGGAAUAUUGGUCAAUGGGCGCAAGCCUGAACCAGCCAAGUAGCGUGAAGGAUGACUGCCCUGCGGGUUGUAGACUUCUUUUAUAAAGGGAUAAAGUGAGGCACGUGUGCCUUUUUGUAUGUACUUUAUGAAUAAGGAUCGGCUAACUCCGUGCCAGCAGCCGCGGUAAUACGGAGGAUCCGAGCGUUAUCCGGAUUUAUUGGGUUUAAAGGGGGCGUAGAUGGGUUGUUAAGUCAGGGGUGAAAGUUUGCGGCUCAACCGUAAAAUGGCCAUUGAUACUGGGAGUCUUGAGUACAGUUGAGGUAAGCGGAAUUCGUGGUGUAGCGGUGAAAUGCUUAGAUAUCGCGAAGAACCCCGAUUGCGAAGGCAGCUU